UACGUAGGGGGCUAGCGUUGUCCGGAAUCAUUGGGCGUAAAGCGCGCGUAGGCGGCCAGAUAAGUCCGGUGUGAAAGUCAAAGGCUCAACCUUUGAAUGCCGCUGGAAACUGCCUGGCUUGAGUCCGGUAGGGGAAGGUGGAAUUCCUGGUGUAGCGGUGAAAUGCACAGAUAUCAGGAGGAACACCGGUGGCGAAGGCGGCCUUCUGGGCCGGUACUGACGCUGAGGACGAAAGCUGGGGAGCGAACAGG
rnacentral:rRNA from 1 species